rnacentral:rRNA from 1 species
UACGGAGGGUGCGAGCGUUAAUCGGAAUUACUGGGCGUAAAGGGUGCGUAGGUGGUUUGAUAAGUUAUCUGUGAAAGCCCUGGGCUCAACCUGGGAAGGCCAGAUAAGACUGUUAGACUUGAGUAUGGGAGAGGGUAGUGGAAUUUCCGGUGUAGCGGUGAAAUGCGUAGAGAUCGGAAGGAACACCAGUGGCGAAGGCG